CUUUGAGAGCUCUGGGUCCCGUUCUCUAGUUCUUCUACUUAUAGCCACAUCUGGAAACACAAUCUGGUUUGAUCUCACUCUCAUAGCAGAAGCUUCAGACACUGAGCUGAGGUACUAACUUAUGGAAAUCUGUGUCCACAGAAAUUGUCUGGCGACUUUCAACCACCUACCUUAGGUUCCUUUAAGUAACAGUGCAUGGCCUGAGUAACGUCUGCAGCAUGGACUGCAUUGUGGUAAGGAUUUUGACUGUGGUAAUCUUCUUGAAUCAUAACUGCAUUUAAAAAAAAAAAAACUCAAAUUUUAGUAUACAUGAGGGACAUCCGAAUAUUGAAAGUGGUAACCAUUAGUGAUCCACGUAUAUUUUCCUUGUGGUUAUCAACUUAAAUAGUUCACAUUCUAAAACAGUCACUUCAAUUCAACCAAUCACCAGGUAUUUCAGUAUCAUGCCACAGCAGAGACCAUGAGAAAAAGAGUAUGACUGCUAACCAGCUGAUACAUGGUUUAUCACACAUGGUUUUUAACUGCAAAGCCAGCUGAUACAUGGCCUAUCACACAUGGUGCCUGUCACUGAUGAAAUUGUUGCCAUGUCUUGAAGAGCUACAAGCACGUGCUUUAAGCUAUGAUCCUGAUAGUUUGUUACAGCUGACUGACAGUUAUGCAAGUUCUUAUACAGCCUUGUUAAAUGUAUUAGAAUCACUUACCUAAAAACCGACGGAGUUUCACCAUAUCUAAAUGGAAGUACUCAAUCAAUCCAUGAAGACUAAAUAAAUGAAAGGUUAGGCUUACUAGACUAUUUCCUAGAAAGAAAGAGGAGAGGCCAUAUUAGUAAGACAUGCAAGGCCAGAAGACUGCUGUCCCCAGACGGAGACUCCGAGCGAGCAUGGACUUGGAAGCAACAUCCAAGCCCACUUUGCUCUGCCAAUGCCUGUAGCUCUGUACUUUGAUUAGUAUACACUUUAAAUGUUAACCUCUCCAUUCUACACUAAGGAAAAAAUGUUUCAGCUUUCUACAAAGAACUGAAAGAUAAAAACUUUUAAGGAUUUUCAGGUUAAACACGUUGGACAACAAACUAAUACUCAAUAGUAGAAUAUGGGAAAACUGACCUAGAGUGAACAAGCCAAUCUAACUUUACAAGCACUUCAUAGAAAUGAAUAGAACCACAGCAGAAAUUUUUGGCUACAACCUUCUGAAAAUUGUGUUUAUUUUUACUGGAACAGAACUUGGAGAGGACAGUCUCCUCUUCACAGUCCCCAAGACUGAAGCUCUGACAAAAGCUCUCCUCUUUUCUGUACUGAGCAGAGACCUGAGAGCUGGUGGAGGGCAGGCAGCAGCACACACCUCCUAACUGUGCAGCUGACACGCACAGACAAGUGGCCUCACUGCUGUCAGGGACAGGCCUCUUUCACUCUGCAAAGCACCUGUUGUAAGACUCUGUUACUCUUCCCAAACAUUUUAAUGUGCUUCUUUCCCAUUUUCCUCAUGAACCACAGCCUCAUAGGUCACAGGGAAAAAGCUCCCUAAGUCUUUAGCUUCUUUUUCCUUAAACAUUAAUUUACCCAUAUUUCCUCAAAGACAGAUCCCCAUCCCUUGGAUACAUUUCACCACAACAAGCCAUGUUGUCUUGUCUCUUUCUCCUACAAUUUCCCAAGCACCACAAGCCUUGAGACACGCUGUACAUUCACUGUCUAUGGCUCUCCAUCCCCACACUCAUGCAGCCAGUGUUUAUUCCUGCUGUCUGAAUCCCCAUCUUUACUAUGCUUAUUUCCCCAUCCCUGCCAAAAAUGCUCCAGUAUAUAUACCUUAUUCUAUGUCUCAGGAUUUUGUAGACUCAAUACAGGACAAAUAUGCUAUAUUAACAGUUAAAUUGACUAUUUUAAAGGGAUUUAAUCUCAUAAUUUACUGCAUCACAGAUAACAGUAACAUGCAUGUGAUUCUAGUUAUCCUCUGAACUCUAUGAUAUUGGUAAAUAUGAAAAAGAAAAACUAAUCUCUCAGUAAGAAUUUAUAAUAUUUAAAAGGGCUAAUAAAGAAUGAACUAACAACUCAUCAAACCACUGUCAACAGAACCCAUCGAUGGAUACAUGUAACAACUUGCAGAGAACGUCAUGAAGGCAGGGGAAGGCCACAAAGAAGAUUUUUAAAUAUAAUAUUGUUUAUUAUUGUGUAUUGAAACAAACAUGCAUGAUGGGAGCACAUAUGCCAUGGUGUAUGUGUGUGUGUGUGUGUAAAAAGUCAAAGGACAACCUUGGGGAAUCAGUUCUCCCACCUUUCUUGGGAAUUGAACUUAGUUCAGCAAAUGAAGACACUUCCUGCAAAAGCCUCAUGACCUAUCUUGCUGGACCAUAAGGAUUCUUUUACAGACAAAGACACACACGUAUAUAUGCAGGUAUGCAUGCCAUGGUACACAUGUUGGAAGUUGGAGGACAGCUUGCAAAAGUCAUUCUUGCUUCCUAGCAUGUAGUCCAGAACAGCAAACUCAUGUGUGCUGCUUUGGUUGCAAAGGCAUCUUGCCAGCCCCAAGAUUCUUUUAAAAGGUGACUUGGCAUAUCAUCACCAUAUGGAAAGUAGUAAGUAUAACCUUAAAUUGGAUGCCAGUGAGUCAGGCAUGGUGGCACAGAUCUUUAAUCUCAGUAUCUGGGAGGGAGAGGCAGGAAGAGCUCUGUGAGUUUGAGACCAGCCUAGACUACAUACUGAGUUCCAGGAUCAUCAGGACUAUAAAGACAUUCUCACAAGGUCUG
rnacentral:lncRNA from 1 species